AUACCAGUGCGAGCAUGAAAGUUCCUAAGAUCUGCAAGCCGGGAGCCCUUCUGGGGUGCCUUCUGAAGAACACUCGAGCCAGCUUGCGGAGUCGACUGCCCAGCUACUGAGCCCUGGCUGCCUCAUACCUGGCGGAGCUCAGCAGACAGCCCUUGUUAGAUGGCAGAGGUCGCCAGAUGUUCCUGAGGAACUGGCAUCAGGACUUCUGGGACGUAACCACUUCAGUUUCCAAUCACUGACUUCCCUGAACCUGGUAUCUUCAGAUCUGGGUUGAAGCUGAAGGCUCAGUUGGGGAAUCAGGAAAACAAGGGAAUCGGAGCCAGCCCAAGCCAACUGACAAUAACUUUCUUUUAGUGACUGCAUUAGUUUGGGGUAAUGCUGUAACAGGCAGCAUUUCAAAAACGGAUCCAAAUUUGGGUUGAAAAUAACUCACCUGGGUCUCCAAUCAGACCUAACAGAGCCAGAAAGAGGCCUGUACACGGGGACUGGGCAGAAGAUCUAAUGCCGUUUAAGACUCCUCCCUUGAGACCAGAGAAAAGAAACUGCAGACACAGCCUGAAUGAUACAAAAGUGCAUCAUUGAUGAAAAAACAAAGCCUAC
rnacentral:lncRNA from 1 species